rnacentral:lncRNA from 1 species
AAAAAUAAAAAAAAUUCUAAAAAUGCUCGUGUUUUUUUUUUUCCCCGUUUUACACCAGCUAUAUAGUGUGCGUCAAUCGCGUCAUAAAAAUGAGUCGGGGUCACUCGUUUAUAUUAUGUCGCCCAAUAUUUCCCCGUCGAUAUCGGUGUACCGGUCUCUGCGGCGGCGGCGGCUGCGGGAGGGUGGGGGAAAGUCCACGUUUCUUUACACCGUGUCCGAAUUCCAAAUCGAUAACAGCGUCGACCUAUAAAAUCGAGAAUUUAUACGGCGGAACAGGCACGAAAAGCACACAAUAUUAUUUUUUUUAUCUGCUGCCGGCGAUGACGGGUCCGAGUAAAUGUUUAUCGAUCGGCGUCGGAGACUUGGGUUUACAAUUCGGUUUACGCGGUGUGUACAUUGCGACGCGCAGCACAGCACACGGUAAACUGCGCGUAUCUACAUGACGAUCGGUGUGCCGUUAUCGCGGAAAACGUUUCACAGUGUACACGUUUAUUAAAACAAACGUUGGUGUUGACAUUUUCGAUUUCCGUCAAUCCCCGUCAACGAGACGUUUCGCUUUUGAGUUUGGGCCGCGGGAGAGUAGCGGCGCGUUAUUAAAACGCCGCGCGCCGCGCCGCCACACGAAUACGGUGCUCCGCUACUCUCCCCCGACGACCGAGGGUCUCACGGACAGGUCGAUCACUCUGUAUAGCGACGGGCCUUAGAGAGUCACUGUCAAACCGUUCGACGACCGACCGCGUAAUCCGACCGAUUGAAAAAUGUCCGCGUACGCAGUUACUUUACUCAGUUACGGGAAAACCGUCCGACAGUUUUCGUCGGAGCUCCGUGCGUCGACGCGUGCUCGUUUUCACGUAUCCGCGUGAAAUUAACGUUCGAACCGAACAAAACCGUGUAGGUAUCUACUUGACAAAAAAAUAAUAAAAUGUGUUCAAAGUUUUCGUUCCCGUGCAUGCACGGAUACCGUUUUCGCGAAAGCUUACCACCACCAGUCAUCGCGUUUUUAAUCGCGACCUCUAGUUUUUACUCGGUUAUCGGGUUUUAAACCGUUCGGAUUGUUCCCCCCCCCCGAAUUAAUUUAGUUCGAUCGCGGGGGAGGGGGAUGGAAUCUGUAAUACGCGAACGAGAUUUCCGCUAGCUGGUAACCUAUCGUCCGAAUACGUCGAACACUGUCGGCAGUGUAAACUAAUCGGAAGCGUCCGUCGGUAUAAAAAAAAAAAAAAAACGAAUAUUCGACGGAGGAUUUCAAGUUUAAUUAUUUUUUUCUACCGACACUCGGUGCUGCGUUCGCGGUGCUGGAGAAAAUAUGGGAACGAUUAAAAAAAAAAAAAAAAAAAAAAAAAAAAACAAAAACAAAAUACUUCGUUAUUAUCAUAUCGUAAUAAUAUUAUUAAUAUACCCGAUAAUAUUAUACGGCCGCGGAACCUGUUGGAAUAUUAUUCACGGAGACGGCGGCGUUAAAGCGCGUGUAACAUAAUAAUAAUAACGAUAAUGAUAAUAAUAUUAUACAAAAUGAAAAAAAAAAAACAACCGAGACAGGAUUUUUAGACGACGGG